rnacentral:rRNA from 1 species
GAGUUUGAUCCUGGCUCACAACGAACGCUGGCGGCAGGCCUAACACAUGCAAGUCGAACGAACCUUUUAGGUGAGUGGCGCACGGGUGCGUAACGCGUGGGAAUAUGCCCUUAGGUGCGGAAUAACGGCUGGAAACGGUCGCUAAUACCGCAUAAUGACUCCGGUCCAAAGAUUUAUCGCCUAAGGAUUAGCCCGCGUCAGAUUAGAUAGUUGGUGAGGUAAAAGCUCACCAAGUCGACGAUCUGUAGGGGGUCUGAGAGGAUGAUCCCCCACACUGGUACUGAGACACGGACCAGACUCCUACGGGAGGCAGCAGUGAGGAAUAUUGGACAAUGGGGGCAACCCUGAUCCAGCCAUGCCGCGUGUAUGGCGAAGGCCUUAGGGUUGUAAAGUACUUUCAAACGUGAAGAUAAUGACGGUAGCGUUAGAAGAAGCUCCGGCUAAAUUCGUGCCAGCAGCCGCGGUAAUACGAAUGGAGCAAGCGUUGUUCGGAAUCACUGGGCUUAAAGCGUAUGUAGGCGGAUCAUAAAGUCAGGCGUGAAAUCCCGAGGCUCAACCUCGGAACUGCGCUUGAAACUCAUGAUCUAGAAUCCUGGAGAGGUUGGGAG